CCUACGGGAGGCAGCAGUGAGGAAUAUUGGUCAAUGGCCGGAAGGCUGAACCAGCCAUGCCGCGUGAAGGUCAGUGCCCUAUGGGCGUUAAACUUCUUUUGUGCGGGAGCAAUAAUGGUCACGUGUGGCCAGACGAGAGUACCGUACGAAUAAGCAUCGGCUAACUCCGUGCCAGCAGCCGCGGUAAUACGGGGGAUGCAAGCGUUAUCUGGAUUUAUUGGGGUUAAAGGGUGCGUAGGCUGUGAGGUAAGUCAGCGGUGAAAUGCCCCCGCUCAACGGGGUGAAGUGCCAUUGAUACUGCCUUGCUGGAAUGCGGAUGACGUGGGAGGAAUGUGUGGUGUAGCGGUGAAAUGCAUAGAUAUCACACAGAACACCGAUUGCGAAGGCAUCUCACGAAUCCGCGAUUGACGCUGAUGCACGAAAGCGUGGGUAUCAAACAGGAUUAGAUACCCGAGUAGUC
rnacentral:rRNA from 1 species